AUUGAACGCUGGCGGCAGGCCUAACACAUGCAAGUCGAACGAGUGGCGGACGGGUGAGUAAUGUCUGGGAAACUGCCCGAUGGAGGGGGAUAACUACUGGAAACGGUAGCUAAUACCGCAUACCAUCGGAUGUUCCCAGAUGGGAUUAGCUCGUAGGUGGGGUAACGGCUCACCUAGGCGACGCGCCCUAGCUGGUCUGAGAGGAUGACCAGCCACACGGGAACGGAGACACGGUCCAGACUCCGACGGGAGGCAGCAGUGGGGAAGAUUGCACAAUGGGCGAAAGCCUGAUGCAGCCAUGCCGCGUGUAUGAAGAAGUCCUUCGGGUUGUAAAGUACUUUCAGCGAGGAGUCGUUACUCGCAGAAGAAGCACCGGCUAACUCCGUGCCAGCAGCCGCGGUAAUAC
rnacentral:rRNA from 1 species